rnacentral:rRNA from 1 species
AUUGAACGCUGGCGGCAGGCCUAACACAUGCAAGUCGAACGGUAACAGGAAACAGCUUGCUGUUUCGCUGACGAGUGGCGGACGGGUGAGUAAUGUCUGGGAAACUGCCUGAUGGAGGGGGAUAACUACUGGAAACGGUAGCUAAUACCGCAUAACGUCGCAAGACCAAAGAGGGGGACCCUCGGGCCUCUUGCCAUCGGAUGUGCCCAGAUGGGAUUAGCUUGUUGGUGGGGUAACGGCUCACCAAGGCGACGAUCCCUAGCUGGUCUGAGAGGAUGACCAGCCACACUGGAACUGAGACACGGUCCAGACUCCUACGGGAGGCAGCAGUGGGGAAUAUUGCACAAUGGGCGCAAGCCUGAUGCAGCCAUGCCGCGUGUAUGAAGAAGGCCUUCGGGUUGUAAAGUACUUUCAGCGGGGAGGAAGGGAGUAAAGUUAAUACCUAUGCUCAUUGACGUUACCCGCAGAAGAAGCACCGGCUAACUCCGUG